rnacentral:rRNA from 1 species
CAGCAGCCGCGGUAAGACAGAGGAUGCAAGCGUUAUCCGGAAUGAUUGGGCGUAAAGCGUCUGUAGGUGGCUUUUCAAGUCCGCCGUCAAAUCCCAGGGCUCAACCCUGGACAGGCGGUGGAAACUACCAAGCUGGAGUACGGUAGGGGCAGAGGGAAUUUCCGGCGGAGCGGUGAAAUGCGUUGAGAUCGGAAGGAACACCAACGGCGAAAGCACUCUGCUGGGCCGACACUGACACUGAGAGACGAAAGCUAGGGGAGCAAAUGGGAUUAGAUACCCGGGUAGUCCCUGUCUCUUAUAC